UGGGGAAUAUUGCACAAUGGGCGCAAGCCUGAUGCAGCCAUGCCGCGUGUAUGAAGAAGGCCUUAGGGUUGUAAAGUACUUUCAGCGGGGAGGAAGGUGAUAAGGUUAAUACCCUUGUCAAUUGACGUUACCCGCAGAAGAAGCACCGGCUAACUCCGUGCCAGCAGCCGCGGUAAUACGGAGGGUGCAAGCGGUAAUCGGAAUUACUGGGCGUAAAGCGCACGCAGGCGGUCAAUUAAGUCAGAUGUGAAAGCCCCGAGCUUAACUUGGGAAUUGCAUCUGAAACUGGUUGGCUAGAGUCUUGUAGAGGGGGGUAGAAUUCCAUGUGUAGCGGUGAAAUGCGUAGAGAUGUGGAGGAAUACCGGUGGCGAAGGCGGCCCCCUGGACAAAGACUGACGCUCAGGUGCGAAAGCGUGGGGAGCAAACA
rnacentral:rRNA from 1 species